GCAUUAAUGGGGUAGUGGUAACCUGGGUCGUUGCCAUCGACCCGCCAGGGGUUCGAUUCCCCUUUAAUGCA